UUGAUGCUCACGCUGGGGUUUGUGUUGACGGUCAGCAUGGCGCCUUGAGUUAUAUUGGUCACCGGCCUGAAAACAAAAUCAUGGAGGACAGAGAGAAAGGGGAAGAAAAUGGAAGAUAAGGGACAGAACAAAGAGGAAAGCUCUGCUACAUCAUUUCAUCCAGCUGAAGUCUCUCAACUGCAGAACAACCGAAUCAUGUUCAGAUUGAUGUUAUGAAGACGCUGAGAUGGUGAGAUGCUGGUGAGAGACCGAUUCACUAAAAAAACGGAAUGUGAAUUGCUUGCAUAUAAGGUCAUGGUAUGGAUAUCAUGCAAGCUGCCUGGGAGGGUCAGUAGUAAAAGUAUUCAGCAUUAAGAAGGAGGCGGAGAGCUAUCAGCAGUGUGGCGGAUAACCAGAGGAAUCUCCAUCGUUGCCACCACCAUCAUCCCUGGCACUGAUAGGUUUCUGGAAACCAGGUUUUGACACGGCACAGAUGACAAAAUAAAGAAAGGACUUACACCAAGUUGCUGAGUGAUGCGAGACUAAGUUGCUGCUGCUGCUGCUGUUGUUGCUGCUGCGAUUGCUGAGAAACAGCCUGCUGCUGUUGCCAUGUGGACACACUAGUUGGCAACAAGCCUCCAGGUGACGCCAGAGCAUGUAAAGCAGUGAUAUCUGCACUGGUCAGCUGGUACUCUGAGAGAGGACAGAGGGUGGAAGAGUCACACAACAACAAAACUCUUGCGUCCUUCCUCAGCUAAAAGCAUAUUUUCACUCCCUGAGCUCAUACAGUAUGUUUGGUUCACCUGUGUUGUACGCUGUGGGCAUGGCGGAGAAGGGCAGCCCCUGUGCCAGGAGGCUUGGCGUGGCGACUGACACCACCGGCGUGGUGAGAGUUUGUGCCGCCUGGGCUCCGGCCGCCAGCCGCUGGGCGUUCUGCAAGAGAGGACGAAGACAUGUUGGUCCCAGCAGAAAACAAAAGAAUCAAACAAAAAGAAUCAAACUCUCAAACGUCACCAAAGUCUAAAGCUACGGCUGAUUUAAAUAAUGUAACUCUCAACAUGCUGGGAAUGACGAUGUGCUUAUGGCUGGAUUCAUAAUGAUGCACCGGGUCAAGUAAAUCUCACCGUCAAAUGGAUUCACUGUCAGGAGGUUGAAUGAUGACAUGCAUCAAAACUGGUUUCAUUGCUUUGACUGAGCCAUAAAUGCUGUACAUGUAUUACAUUAAAGGCAAUUCACUUAUGGUA